AGCAAAGCCAUUGCAUCUGAUAUGGACAUAGAGCCAGAAUUUCCUUCAAAACGUCAACGGAAAAGAAAGAGGCAUCAUGAUGAAAUAAAUGAUCAAGACGAAGAAAUACAGUUGUCAGCUAUGGAAUCCUUCAGAGUUAAUUACUUUCUAGUCAUCGUUGACAAUGCAAUUCUUUCAUUGACCAGUCGCUUUGAUCAGUUGAAGAAAUUUGAAAAGGUGUUUGGUUUCUUAUUCAAUUCAAAAAAUCUGAAGUCCUUGGAUGAUAGCAAACUACAGGAAUGUUGCGCUACUUCUGCAAAAGCUUUUUCUGAUGAUAAAUCAUCUGAUGUUGAUCUUCAUGAUUUUGUCUCAGAGUUAAAAGUGUUGCAGGUAUCUUUGCCAGAUGGUUUGAUGUCAGCGCUUGAGAUUCUUCAGUUUGUUAUGGUUGUAGAUUGCUAUCCAAAUGUCUCUGUUGCCUAUCGGAUCCUGUUAACAGUAGCCUCAGCUGAAUGGCCUGGCUAUGUGCUGCAUUGA
rnacentral:rRNA from 1 species